AUUGAACGCUGGCGGCAUGCCUUACACAUGCAAGUCGAACGGCAGCACGGGGGCAACCCUGGUGGCGAGUGGCGAACGGGUGAGUAACAUAUCGGAACAUACCCUAGAGUGGGGGAUAACGUAGCGAAAGUUACGCUAAUACCGCAUACGAUCUAAGGAUGAAAGUGGGGGAUCUUCGGACCUCAUGCUCAUGGAGUGGCCGAUAUCUGAUUAGCUAGUUGGUGAGGUAAAGGCUCACCAAGGCGACGAUCAGUAGCUGGUUUGAGAGAACGACCAGCCACACUGGAACUGAGACACGGUCCAGACUCCUACGGGAGGCAGCAGUGGGGAAUUUUGGGACAAUGGGGGCAACCCUGAUCCAGCAAUGCCGCGUGAGUGAAGAAGGCCUCGGUUGUAAGACGUCUUUGUCUAGGGAAGGAAACGGGUA
rnacentral:rRNA from 1 species